rnacentral:rRNA from 1 species
GGGGGGGGGGGGGGGGGGGGCUGGGGGGUGGGGGGGGGGGGAGGGGGGGGGGAGGUGGCUCCUCUGACGGUAGCGGCGGACGGGUGCGUAACACGUGGGUAACGUGCCUCUAGGGCUGGGAUCACUUCGGGAAACCGGAGCUAGUACCGGAUAACAUGUUGAACCGCAUGGUUCAACAGUGAAAGACGGUCUUGCUCUCACUUAUCGAUGUGUACUCGACGCCUUAGCUAGGUUGUAAGGUAACGGCUUACCACGGCAACGAUGCGUAGCCGACCUGCUCGGGUGAUCGGCCACACUGGAAGUGAGACACUGUCCAGACUCCUACGGGAGGCCGCAGGAGGGAAUCUUCCGCAAUGGGCGAAAGCCUGACGGAGCAACGCCGCGUGAGUGAAGAAGGUCUUCGGAUCGUAAAACUCUGUUAUUAGGGAAGAACAAAUGUGUAAGUAACUAUGCACGUCUUGACGGUACCUAAUCAGAAAGCCACGGCUAACUACGUG